rnacentral:rRNA from 1 species
UGGGAGCGUACCCUUUGGUUCGGAACAACCCAGGGAAACUUGGGGCUAAUACCGGAUAAGUCCGUAAGGAGAAAGAUUUAUCGCCAAAGGAUCGGCCCGCGUCUGAUUAGCUAGUUGGUAGGGUAAUGGCCUACCAAGGCUACGAUCAGUAGCUGGUCUGAGAGGAUGAUCAGCCACACUGGGACUGAGACACGGCCCAGACUCCUACGGGAGGCAG